rnacentral:rRNA from 1 species
AGAGUUUGAUCCUGGCUCAGAUUAAACGCUGGCGGCAUGCCUUACACAUGCAAGUCGAACGGCAGCACGGGGGCAACCCUGGUGGCGAGUGGCGAACGGGUGAGUAAAGCAUCGGAACGUGCCCUGGAGUGGGGGAUAACGUAGCGAAAGUUACGCUAAUACCGCAUAUUCUGUGAGCAGGAAAGCAGGGGAUCGCAAGACCUUGCGCUCUGGGAGCGGCCGAUGUCGGAUUAGCUAGUUGGUGGGGUAAAGGCCUACCAAGGCGACGAUCCGUAGCGGGUCUGAGAGGAUGAUCCGCCACACUGGGACUGAGACACGGCCCAGACUCCUACGGGAGGCAGCAGUGGGGAAUUUUGGACAAUGGGCGAAAGCCUGAUCCAGCCAUGCCGCGUGAGUGAAGAAGGCCUUCGGGUUGUAAAGCUCUUUCGGUGGGGAAGAAAUUGCAUGGGCUAAUACCCUGUGUAGAUGACGGUACCUGGAGAAGAAGCACCGGCUA